GGUGGAAUAUCAGGAGAAAAACAGCUACAGCUGUGUGAUCAACAAUCCCAUCAGAAACCAGACCACACAUCUGGACAUCAGCAAACUCUGUCACACAUGUUCAGGAAUCUGAGACGGCGGUGAUGAACACGUGUUUCAGCUCUGAACAAUGAUUAAACUCUCUGUGAUUCUAUUUCUCACAAUUUAUGCUCUGAUCACAACUAUUUCAUCUGCCUUUUACACUUUAUUACUGAUGUAUAUAUAAUGUGAUUUUAGUUUUUUAUAUUUCCUCUAAAUGAUCUUCCUCUAAUGAGUUUAUUGUGAUCCUGAGUGAAGAAUACUCUAGACUAUCAAAUAAUGCUUUCUUCAGUAUAAACAUGUUUUCCCCCCUCUCUCCACAUCCGCCUGCCCUCUUGAAUAAAGUUUUCUCCAUGCUUUAUUAAAUUAUGUCAAGCGCC